rnacentral:snoRNA from 1 species
GUGGAGGUUAAUGAAGGCGGGGCCAGUGAAGACCAUGUGGCUCUUGCUGAUACUCACCUCCUACAGUAAAGCAGCAGCAGGGAGAAACUGGCUGGUCUGCAGAGUCUGCAUCCUGCACUGCUCCUGCUGCCACACAU